GUUCCGAGUUGGUGUUUUUAAUUUUGUACUUUAAUUUAAUUUAAUUUUUUAAAAAGCUUAUUCUGGUCUGAUCUGCAUGAGAAACUAUCAUCUUUUCAAUAAUAUACUAUGUCAUUUUAUGAAGACAACAAAGCAAAAAAAAAUGUCAUGCCAUUCUAAGAAUGACCCAUUGUACAUUUUAAUGCCAUUUUUCACUGUAUUGGUGAACCGUACAUCCGCCUUGGCCGUCAUUCCGCUCUUGCCUCUUGAUGUCACCCUCCUCCCUUCCCCCGCGCAGCCGGGGGCGGGGGGCUGGGGGAGGGGCGCGGGGGGGCUGGGGGAGGACCUUCCAGAGCAGGGCCCUCAGCGCACCAGCCCCGGAUGCAUGACUUCAUUCUUCCGCCUGGGUUUCCUUUAUGAUGUAGGGCUGCCCCAGCCCCUGUGCACAGACACCUCGGCAGGCUGCAGCGCUCCGCACUCCCUCGCCAGCCCGCUCGCCCGCCCGCCCGGCUCCUUCCCCCGGCACCGCCGCUGGAUCGCGCUCUCCGGCCGCCCCGCAGGACCCGAGAGCUGCCAGUAUGUCCGAGAUCCUCCCCUACAGCGAGGAGAAGGUGGCCCACUUCGGCACCGACUCCGAAGUCAGCGAGAUCUCCUUCAGCUGCCGGCUCCAGGACACCAACUCCUUCUUCGGGGGCAACCAGGCCAAGCGGCCCCCCAAGCUGGGGCAGAUCGGCAGGGCCAAGAGAGUGGUGAUCGAAGAUGAUAGAAUAGACGAGGUGCUGAAGGGGAUGACAGACAAGUCGCCUUCUGGGGUAUAAGCUGGCAGAGGAGGCGCCUGCACUGAGCUGCAGACUCUGAUCACUGAUUUUAAGCACUUUUGGCCGUGCAUGUUUGUUGGACUGUGGUCAACGAGGAAAGCAAAGGAAGGAGAUGAGGCUGCUGGCGACACCUUCCACCCCCAACCCAGACCCCAGCCCGAGGCGGUAACGGAUGGGGCCAUCUCACCCUCCUCAGCAUCCAACCGAGAGCAAUGGGACAAAGGGAUUUGGCCAUCCAUCCCUGUCCAGAUUUCCAGGGCGCCAUGCCCACCCCGGAGAUGUCCAUGUUUGUCAGCACCACCUCCUGCCCUCACAACCCCCCUCCCUGCAGAAUGGGGGAGCCGGCUGCUGAGGCGCUAUCCAGGGCCAGCGCCACUUCCAGCGCGCUCCCGGGGAGCUGUCCAUUCCAGCGCCACUUCCAGCGCGCUCCCGGGGAGCUGUCCAUUCCAGCGCGCUCCCGGGGAGCUGUCCAUUCCAGCGCCACUUCCAGCGCGCUCCCGGGGAACUGUCCAUUCCAGCGCCACUUCCAGCGCCCUCCCGGGGAGCUGUCCAUUCCAGCGCCACUUCCAGCGCGCUCCCGGGGAACUGUCCAUUCCAGCGCCUCUUCCAGCGCCCUCCCGGGGAACUGUCCAUUCCAGCGCCACUUCCAGUGUCUUCCCGGGGAGCUGUCCACUCCAGCACCCACCCUGGGAGCUGUUCAUUCCAGCGCCACUUCCAGGGAGCUGUCCACUCCAGCACCCUCUCCUCUCCCAUUCCUCUCUCCCCAGCCCCACUGAGCUCCCCCUUUCGCCAUGCCACGUUGCCGAGGUGCUGUUCCCCUGAGAGCGCGGAGCCCUUGGGAUCGCCUAGCGUUCUCAUCUCGAAGAGGGCUCCUGUAGCGAUGCACUUUACCCCUUUCUCUGUCUCUCUCCGAGUGGCUGUGUAUCUAACCCCUGCAUAGACACACACCUCUCCAGCUGUAGCAAGCUCAUUGUGUGUGCAAUCACCCCCCUUCUGUAUUUCAGACCCACACCCAUUCUCUAACGCAUCCAUCCAUCCCCACUCCUCAUCCCUAUCCAGUUUGCAAAAUACCAGCAGAUCGGAAGCAAAUCAAAAGCCAGCAGUGCUGAAUGGAAGGCAGAGGUUCCGACUCGGAUGGACUAUAAUAUAAAAGACAGUGAUCAUUUUGCUGUCGAGAGACAUUUUUGCUCCAUCUUUUUUGCAUGAGCUUCCUGGUCCUGGUGCCACAUCUUGGUGCCACUGGUCAUCCCACUAUGGCACGCUUCUUUUUAACAGAACUCCUCAUAUUUGUAUUUUUAUAUCCGAAUCUUUGUUAAAAAUGAUCUGCUAAUGUCUAAUGUUGAAAUAUUGCAUCAAAGAUUGUUCAUAUUUUUUCCAUACGAAAGAAAAAAAAGUGUAUAGAAUGGAAUUUAAAUGGUUGGUUCUCUUAAUUCUAUAUAUCAGUAUUGGACAGGACUUCUUGAAUGUGGUUAGGGUUUUGCACACCUCAAAACAUCAGUAAACAAAACAAAUGUAUCUAAGAAUCUUAUACUGUGAUUAAUGGCUUUAUUGACGGACCAUGCAGAAACAUAAUGACUUUAGAAGAUCUUAUUGCACUGGUUACGAAUGUGCUUGGAUAACUCGCUGGUUAUUUGACGCCUCUUUCUUGGGGGAUGUUCCGAGUUGGUGUUUUUAAUUUUGUACUUUAAUUUAAUUUAAUUUUUUAAAAAGCUUAUUCUGGUCUGAUCUGCAUGAGAAACUAUCAUCUUUUCAAUAAUAUACUAUGUCAUUUUAUGAAGACAACAAAGCAAAAAAAAUGUCAUGCCAUUCUAAGAAUGACCCAUUGUACAUUUUAAUGCCAUUUUUCACUGUAUUGGUGAACAAAACUCAAUGAAUAAAUACAUACAUGUACCAAAUGGAGGCA
rnacentral:lncRNA from 1 species